CGAGCCCAGCCCUCAGAGCCAAUC
rnacentral:siRNA from 1 species